CUCAUUUCCUUGUUACACAAGCUUUUGAUGAAGAUGAAAAAGAGAAUGUUGAAGAUGCUAUAGAAUUGUACACAGAAGCUGUGGAUCUCUGUCUGAAAACAUCUUAUGAAACUGCUGAUAAAGUCCUGCAAAAUAAACUGAAACAGUUGGCUCGACAGGCACUAGACAGAGCAGAAGCGCUGAGUGAGCCUUUGACCAAGCCAGUUGGCAAAAUCAGUUCAACAAGUGUUAAGCCAAAGCCACCUCCAGUGAGAGCACAUUUUCCACUGGGCGCUAAUCCCUUCCUUGAAAGACCUCAGUCAUUUAUAAGUCCUCAGUCAUGUGAUGCACAAGGACAGAGAUACACAGCAGAAGAAAUAGAAGUACUCAGGACAACAUCAAAAAUAAAUGGUAUAGAAUAUGUUCCUUUCAUGAAUGUUGACCUGAGAGAACGUUUUGCCUAUCCAAUGCCUUUCUGUGAUAGAUGGGGCAAGCUACCAUUAUCACCUAAAC
rnacentral:lncRNA from 1 species